rnacentral:lncRNA from 1 species
UGCACACAUCUUCUUCUCCAAGGUUUGUGUGCAGAACAUCCUGCCCAUGCUGCCCCAGCAGCUUCAGUUGGCACCUGCCUCAGUCCAGCCUCUGGGAACCAUGCAGCAGCUCCCAGCGGCCCUGCACCCACCACCAGCAUCCGUUUCACCUGCAGUUGAAGAUCCGUGAGGUGCCCAGAAGAUCAUGCAGUCAUCAGUCCCACGGAGCAGCCUGCGAGGCUGAGGCUCCUCCCACUGGACCGCCCCCCAACUGGCACCACUGCUGCCCCUGCCCCUACUCUCAGCCUCACGUGACUCUCGGGCAGAAGCACUGGUGGGGCAGCCAGGGCAGCGUCAAGAGUCUGAGCCAGCUGCAGGACAAGUUCGAGCAUCUUAAAAUGAUUCAACAGGAGGAGAUAAGGAAGCUCGAGGAAGAGAAAAAAAAACUGGAAGGAGAAAUCAUAGAUUUUUAUAAAAUGAAAGCUGCCUCUGAAGCACUGCAGACUCAGCUGAGCACCGAUACAAAGAAAGACAAACAUCUAACAAUUUGGACAAGACAGCAAAUGCUAUUGUCCAAGUUUUCUAAAGAAGAAUCUGAAGUGAAAUGACAUCAAGAGACCUAUCAAGACCUGUAUCCAGGAAAAGACCAAACCAAUGCAGACCAAACCAAUGCAGAACUCCUAUGUGCUGAUGGUGGUCUUACAUUUCCCUAAGUUUCUGCCGACUAAACUGUGCACACGUUCUCAGGACCUCCUGAAGCUGCGUCACAGGCACUAAUCAAAGAACACAACCAAGAGUUUGGCCUUUUCUUCAGCACUGGGAAUUGUGAUCCAAAGCUUUUCCCGAUGAAGCACAAAGUUGGAGAAAAAAAAACGCAAACUAAACAACCACAAUGAAACAGAACAGAGUUAAUCUGCUGUAGCUCAAGAGAGGAUGUACCUGCCCCCACCCCGCAUCCCUGGGCUCGGGUUUGCCUUGCUGACCUCUGCUGCCACCUGGUGCCACACAGAGAAACUGAGGAGAAACCACAUCAGUCUCCUUCAGCCUCAGCUUCACAUCUGUGGGUCAAGCAACCCUUUCAGAAGCUGUAUAAUGUGGGAAAGCUUUCCUCUCAGGAAAAUGCACACAUCCAACUUUGAGAAGAUGCCCUUGGGGGCGCUUCAAGGAUUCUAGAUAAUAACCCCCUUUCCCGAACAUCCAAGAACCUAAGAUUUUUUUUUUUUUGAGAAAGUCUCGCUCUCUCUCCCAGUCUGGAGUGCAGUGGCGUGAUCUUGGCUCACUGCCAGCUCCACCUCCCAGGUUCACGCCAUUCUCCUGCUUCAGCCUCCCAAGUAGCUGGGGCUACAGGCACCUGCCACCAAACCCGGCUAAUUUUUUUGUAUUUUUAGUAGAGACGGGGUUUCACCGUGUUAGCCAGGAUCGUCUUGAUCUCCUGACCUUGUGAUCCACCCGCCUCGGCCUCCCAAAUUGCUGGGAUUACAGAUGUGAGCCACCGCACCUGGUCCAAGAACCCAAGUUUUAGAUCUAGAGUGAUGUCAGCAUGACAUUGAUUUCCUGAGGCCCAGGGGCGAAGGAGCUGAGGACAGCAGAGGGGUGAAGGAACUCAGCUACAGACAGCAGCAGCUGAUGCACAGGCCUCCCAGCGCCUGAAGUCACCCGGAAUUGGGAAGUGCUCAGAAGCUUACAAAGCUGCCUCGAGGUGGGAACAUGACAUAAAUCCAAGAGCAGAUCCCUGAUCCUAUAAAAAUGUACUAGAUGCAGUGGGGGCAUUUUAAAUGAGCAGAGAAGGACAGACAGAUAAACAGAAGGACAAACAGUAUUGGGAUUGGGAUAAAUGCUCAGCUUUUGCCCAAAUCUUAGUGACUUAAGCAUCACUUAUUUGCUCACGAUUCUGUGGCUGGACCAUUUGGUUUGGCUCACAGGGCAGGGACUGUGCUGGUCUUACCUGAGCAGACCUGCAUGUCUGCGGUCAACUGGGUUGGCAGAGACAGAGUGACUGUCUUCCUCCAGGAAGCAGCAGGUUAACUGGUUGGCAGAGACAGAGGGACAGAGGGACUGUCUUCCUCCAGGAAGCAGCAGGUUAACUGGUUGGCAGAGACAGAGGGACAGAGGGACUGUCUUCCUCCAGGAAGCAGCAGGUUGGCUCUGUUUCCUUCGUGGGGCAGCUGGUCUCCAGGGCAGCAAGAGAGACCAAGCCCCAGUGCACAUUCUACAGCCUCUGUGCACAUCAGACUUGUUAAUAUCCCAUUGGCCAGUGUAAGUCACUUGGCCAAGCCCAGAUUAAGGAGUGGAAAGAUGGAGGCUAUCUCCUCCUGGGAGAGGAGGCAAAGGAGGUGGGAGUAUUAUGUGGCCACUUAUGUUUGCAAUCUACCAUACUUAGCACUUUGAGAAAAGAAUUAACUGAGAAACUUGCUUCAAAUAGGGCCAGUAAAAUGAAGCCCCAAUUGAAGUAAAAUGCAUAUAUAAAAAAUGAAACUGUGACCGAUUUUAAGGACAGUAUUGGCAAAUAUUUCUGUGCUCUUGGAGGAGAAGACCCUUAUUGGCAUGACAUGUCAGAAACCACAAUGAAAGAAUUAUUUUAACUUGCAUUCAUAAAAAUUAAAAUUAUUCAUUAAAAACAUCGUGAAUGAAAUUAAAAGUCAAAAUGUAAGCCAGAAAAUUAUUUACAACGUAUGUGUCAGGAAAAGACAAUACCCUUCAAACUUUGAGAGUUUACAUCAGAAAGAAAACAGCAAAUGACAUGAUCCAAACUUGAUAAAGGACAUGAAAAAGAGCCAGCACUUAGUAUGUUUUCUGAAUGAAUAAGUAGCCAACAGCACAUGAAAAUGCGUGUAAUCCAUUUGUAAGCAGAGAAAUGCAAACUAAAACAGUAAAGUGUCAUUUUCACUUCCUGG